rnacentral:rRNA from 1 species
UACGGGGGGGGGCAAGCGUUAUCCGUGAAUACUGGGCGUAAAGCGCACGCAAGCGGUUGGACAAGUCUGGCGUGAAAUCCUCUGGCUUAACCAGGGGCGGUCGCUGGAGACUGUUCGGCUUGAGGCGAUGAGAGGGGUGCAGAAUUCCCGGUGUAGUGGUGGAAUGCGUAGAGAUCGGGAGGAAUACCAGUGGCGAAAGCGGCACCCUGGCGUCGUACUGACGCACAUGUGCGAAAGCGUGGGGAGCGAACAGG